AUUGCAGAUUCCGUGAAUCAUCGAGUCUUUGAACGCACAUUGCGCCCCCUGGUAUUCCGGGGGGCAUGCCUGUCCGAGCGUCAUUGCUGCCCAUCAAGCACGGCUUGUGUGUUGGGUCGUCGUCCCCUCUCCGGGGGGGACGGGCCCCAAAGGCAGCGGCGGCACCGCGUCCGAUCCUCGAGCGUAUGGGGCUUUGUCACCCGCUCUGUAGGCCCGGCCGGCGCUUGCCGAACGCAAAUCAAUCUUUUCCAGGUUGACCUCGGAUCAGGUAGGGAUACCCGCUGAACUUAAGCAUAUCAAUAAGCGGAGGAAUCUU
rnacentral:rRNA from 1 species